rnacentral:rRNA from 1 species
GCCCAAGAGAUCGGGAUAACACCUGGAAACAGAUGCUAAUACCGGAUAACAACAGAUGAUGCCUAUCAACUGUUUAAAAGAUGGUUCUGCUAUCACUCUUGGGAUGGGACCUGCGGUGCAUUAGCUAGUUGGGUAGGGGUAACGGCCUACCAAGGCGAUGAUGCAUAGCCCGAGUUUGAGAGACUGAUCGGCCACAUUGGGACUGAGACACGGCCCAAACUCCUACGGGAGGCAGCAGUAGGGAAUCUUCCACAAUGGACGCAAGUCUGAUGGAGCAACGCCGCGUGAGUGAAGUAAGGGUUUCGGCUCGUAAAGCUCUGUUGUUGGUGAAGAAGGACAGGGGGUAGUAACUGACCUUUGUUUGACGGUAAUCAAUUAGAAAGUCACGGGCUAACUACGUGCCAGCAGCCGCGGUAAAU